GAUGAACGCUGGCGGUAUGCUUAACACAUGCAAGUCGUACGAGAGUUUUUAACUCAAGUGGCGGACGGGUGAGUAACACGUGAGAAUUUACCUUUAGGAGGGGGAUAACAAUUGGAAACGAUUGCUAAUACCCCAUAUGCUUUCGAGUGAAAUGGAUUUUUCUGCCUAAAGAAAAGCUCGCGGCUGAUUAGCUUGUUGGUAAGGUAAUGGCUUACCAAGGCGACGAUCAGUAUCUGGUUUGAGAGGACGAUCAGACACACUGGAACUGAGACACGGUCCAGACUCCUACGGGAGGCAGCAGUGGGGAAUUUUCCGCAAUGGGCGAAAGCCUGACGGAGCAAUACCGCGUGAGGGAAGACGGCCUAUGGGUUGUAAACCUCUUUUUUCAGGGAGGAACAAAAUGACGUGUACCUGAAGAAUAAGCAUCGGCUAACUCCGUGCCAGCAGCCGCGGUAAGACGGAGGAUGCAAGUGUUAUCCGGAAUUACUGGGCGUAAAGCGUCUGUAGGUGGUUUGGUAAGUCAACUGUUAAAUCUUGAGGCUCAACUUCAAAACAGCAGUCGAAACUAUCAGAC
rnacentral:rRNA from 1 species